AAAUUUUUGCCAAUGGCUUGAGGUUUUCCCCAGAAAAUGGGAUUUUCUUUUCUAUCACAUUGUCAGGCUGCACAUUUUCCAGACUUCCCUGCUCUGUUUCUCUUUGAAAACGGAGUGCCUUUGAAAGCACCCGGGUCACCUCUUGAAUGUUCUGCUGCUUAGAAAUUCCUUCUGCCAGAUACCCUAAGUCAGUCAUCUCUCUCAGGGUCGAAGUUCUGCAGAUCUCUAGGGCAGGGGCAAAAUGCCACCGGUCUCUUUGUUAAAACAGAACGAGCGUCACCUUUGCUCCAGUUCCGAAAAAGUUCCUCAUCUCCCUCCAAGACCACCUCAGCUUGGACCUUAGUGUCCGUAUUGCUCUCUGGCUUUUGGUCAAAGCCGUUCACCAAGUCUCUAGGAAGUUUCAAACUUUGCCACAUUGUCCCGCUUUCUUCUGAGCCCUCCAACCUCCGCCUGUUUCCAAAGUCACUUUCACUUUUCUGGGUGUCUUUUCAGCAACACGCUGCUCUCCUGGUGCCAACUUACUAUGUUAGUUCAUUUUCACGCUGCUGAUAAAGUCAUAGCUGCACCUGGGUGAAUAAGGGUUGAAUUGGACUCAAACCUCUUUUAAAAGAAAGAGGUUUAAUUGGACUUCCAGUUCCACGUGGCUGGGGAAGCCUCACUAUCAUCCUGGAAUGCAAGGAGGAUCAGGUCCUAUCCAUCUUACAUGGAUGGCAGCGGGCAAAGAGAGAGAUGAUGGGGAAGACACAGAAGGGGAAAUCCCUAAUGAAACCAUCAGAUCCUGUGAGACUUACUUGCUACCAUGAGAACAGUAUGGGGAAAACCACCCCUGUGAUUCACUUCUCUCCCACCAUGUCCCUCCCACAACAUGUGGGAAUUAUGAGUACAAUUCAAGAUGAGAUUUGGGUGGGGACACAGAGCCAAACCAUGGAGCUGUCAAAUGGGUCUAGUGAACAUGACUCUUCCCCUUGGUCAAAGUCAGGUGGCAGUGUUUUGGGCAAGUCGGUCUCCCCUACACCCCGGUGUGCUUUGCCACUUCAGUCUGUCCCUUCAUGUUCACAGAGAAUGGUUACUGAGGAUUGUUUUGUUUGUUUGAUUUGUUUUUUUUUUUUUGUUUGUUUGUU
rnacentral:lncRNA from 13 species